CAGUCGCCACGGUAAUACAGAGGUCUCAAGCGUUGUUCGGAUUCAUUGGGCGUAAAGGGUGCGUAGGUGGCUUGGUAAGUUGAAGGUGAAAUCUCGGGGCUUAACUCCGAAACUGCCUUCAAUACUGCUGAGCUCGAGGAUUGUAGAGGAGAAUGGAAUUCACGGUGUAGCAGUGAAAUGCGUAGAUAUCGUGAGGAAGACCAGUGGCGAAGGCGAUUCUCUGGGCAAUUCCUGACACUGAGGCACGAAGGCCAGGGGAGCAAACGGGAUUAGAGACCCGCGUAGUCCCUGUCUCUUAUAA
rnacentral:rRNA from 1 species